UGUUACAUUUUUUGUUUUUUAUUCAUGUUACUAAUUAGUGUCCUUUUGUUACAGUUUGAAGAACUCCUUUCAGCAUAUCUAAUGAGGCAAGACUAGUGGUGAUGAGCUCCCUCAGAUUUUGUUUGUUGGGAAAGUAUCACACCUUCACUUCUGAAGGACAACUUUGCCAGAUGAGGAAACUGACAACUGAGAGCCUGAGGAAAUUUCCCAAGUUUACACGUGAAUGAAUGUGAGAGCCUGCAUUCAAACUCAGUAUAGACUUCAGUGUCAUUCAGUAUGUUCACAACGUUGUGCGCCCAUCACUAUCUAGUUGGAACUAUCGUUUGGAAAAGUGGAAGCAACUCAAACAUCCGUCAACAGAUGAAUGAAGGAACAAGAUGUGACCUGUCCGUGCAGCUGAACGUUAUUCAGCCACCCAGGAGCGGAGUACGGGACGGGCUGCGGCGCGGGUGAACCUAGGACGCGCGAUCUUCAGUGUUUCCAGAGAGGAAGGGCCGUGAAACUCGACUAGACUGGGGAAUUACAUUGUGUAAAGAGAGCCGAGCGCAAGAAGGCUGGAGACGUGGUCACAGUGAUCAUCUCUAAGGGCCCUGUUCCUGACUCCCCUGCUCCCAGUGGCCUGAUUCCUUUGGCAGCCUGGGUUUCCAGCUCCUGAGAACCGUGAAAAACCAGAACUGUGUUUCAGAAAUACCUUCGUUUGUGUAUAACCAUUUGGCUGAAUUUGGAGUAAUACAACGAGACGUCAAUGAUGUUGCUACUUCUCGGCCUGGCUCGUAAAAGCCUCCCACCUGUAAUUUUCAUUCUUUCUUCUUAUCCAUGGAUAAAGUGAAGAGGGUUUCCUGGACUUAGAAGAAGUGGAUGAACAAAAUGGAAACAGACUGGAUCCCUGAAUGAUUGCGUGGAGAAGAGCCUGCCCUCCUUUCUUUCAACAACAUACAUUGGGCUAAGUGUUCAACAUUUGUAGCAUUAAGCCAUUGACACUUUGUAACUGUUAUAGCAAUUAGUCCACCUGACUAAUAGAGACAGCCACCUGGUACAUCUGAAGUUAUUUAAAGGGAUUGUUAAAUAUGUAAGGUUUAUGUUCACAAGUUCCUGCAUUUUUUUUCUUCAAAUAGACACUAAAAAUUCAGAAAAUGUUAUUGUAAUCUAUAUUUUAAAUCAGCAUUUAAAGUGAUUUUUAAAAGUUGAGGCAUAAUUAGCAAAAUGUUAUAGGCCAAAGAGAACAUAUAGUAUGUUUGAUUAAAGCACAGUUUUACUUAUCAAAUUCAAGAUUAGCUUCAGUGAAAGUCUUGCCCUGCAAACAUGAGUUUUAUCAUUUCUGUUUUUUCUGACUUGUUAACACUUUUCUCUACAUCGUAUGUAUUUUCUCACUAACUUGACAUAACAAAUAAAAUGUUAAAUUAAAUAUUACAGACUAUUUCCAAAUCUUAAUUUAACAUGAUUUCAUCUUACUAUGUUUAUGAAUUAUCUUAUUUAAGUUCUGGCUUUAGGAUAAGUAUAUAGAUGAGAAUACAAAAUGAAGCUCAUAUGGAAAGUGUAUAGUAAACUUUGCUCUUUUCCUUUUAUUCCCUUUAUUAAUAUUAUCUAGUAUUUAACAAACCAUUUGGUCAAAAAAGAAAAACCAUUCUCUGAGCCACAUAAAGAAAGAGAGAUUAGUAAAAAGAAUAUUAUAAUAUUUGUUAGAAAAUUCUGCAUUUAAUAAAUUUAAAAGAUAAUAUAAAACACACAUUUCUAAUGGGUUUAUGUAAAAUUCUCUUUUAAGUCUUCAUUUUUAUGAACUAACCCUGUGUGUGUGUGUGCGUGUGUAUGUGUACAUGUAUGUAUUUACUACUGUCAUUAAAGGCUUACCAUUAUAAAUCUAAAAUAUAACCAAACUGAGAAAUAUUUAUUAAAUACUAUAUUUCAAAGACUAAUAAAUAUACAUUAUGUAUACAUAUAUAUGACAUAUAACAAAAUAAUAUAUAUGACAUGCAUUUCAGUUUGGGAACUUCUGUACUUGAUUAUUUUAAUUAGAAAAUUUCAAAAUGACCUUAUAAUUAAUGUUUAAAAAUUCAGUAACUGGGUGAACAGCUCACAAGUUUCCGUGGAGAGGGAGGUCACAUCAGUGUAUUCCACCUCCUAAACCACAGUGACUGGC